UUCCUCCUGAAUACACAUGGAAUUCCUUGGAAUUCUUAGCUUUCCUAGGAGUUCCUCCGGAAUUCCUAUGAUUUCCCAUAGAUUUCCUCAAACGUGUACACUGAUUUCCCAUCGCGGUUUAGCCCUCGGGAUCGGUUAUUGGGUCUAAAGCAUUAGAGAGUACCUAAUCCACAAUUUCCAAACCAAAGAGACACGACUGGAUACAGACUUCUAUCAAAGUAUAACAAAUAUGGAAAGGUCUACAAGGGUCUCUAAAAACCAAAUGAAUGAAGACCAAUCCGAAUCAGAAGGAUACAAAAAAAUAACCAACUGUGCGUGGAUAUUUCUCUUUGUACUCGUACCGAUAUUAAUCUACUUCAUACGAGUAUACCGGCAAUUAAGAGUAAGAAACUCCAAAAAAGCCGAAGAACUCCAGCGAUUGUCUGAAGAUCCACCCGUCUGGCUUGUCUAAAAUAACUUGUUUGAAGCUUUCGUUUUUCCAGUUUGGGUUUUCAAUGUUUGAAUUCAAACAUUGAAAACCCAAACUGGAAAAA